rnacentral:pre_miRNA from 1 species
UCUUACAGAUGAGCAAAAAAAGUGGUUUCUUCAAGUGGAAUCAACCCCUGGUGAAGAUGCUGUGAA